UACCAGCACCCCGAGUGGUCGGGACGUUUAUUGGGCCUAAAGCAUCCGUAGCCGGUUCUACGAGUCUUCCGUUAAAUCCAACUGCUUAACAGGUGGGCUGCGGAAGAUACUAUAGAGCUAGGAGGCGGGAGAGGCAAGCGGUACUCGAUGGGUAGGGGUAAAAUCCGUUGAUCCAUUGAAGACCACCAGUGGCGAAGGCGGCUUGCCAGAACGCGCUCGACGGUGAGGGAUGAAAGCUGGGGGAGCAAAGCCGG
rnacentral:rRNA from 1 species